UACGGAGGGUGCGAGCGUUGUCCGGAAUCAUUGGGCGUAAAGGGCGCGUAGGUGGCCCGGUCAGUCUUUGGUGAAAGCGCGGGGCUCAACCCUGCGUCGGCCAGGGAUACUGCCGCGGCUCGAGCACUGUAGAGGCAGGCGGAAUUCCCGGUGUAGCGGUGGAAUGCGUAGAGAUCGGGAAGAACAUCGGUGGCGAAGGCGGCCUGCUGGGCUGUUGCUGACGCUGAGGCGCGACAGCGUGGGGGAGCAAACAGG
rnacentral:rRNA from 1 species